rnacentral:rRNA from 1 species
UACGUAGGGUGCAAGCGUUGUCCGGAAUUAUUGGGCGUAAAGAGCGUGUAGGCGGCCCGAUUAGUCCGCUGUGAAGGUCCAGGGCUCAACCCUGGAAUGCCGGUGGAUACUGUCGGGCUAGAGUCCGGAAGGGGCGAGUGGAAUUCCUGGUGUAGCGGUGAAAUGCGCAGAUAUCAGGAGGAACACCAGUGGCGAAGGCGGUUGCCUGGGGCUUUGCUGACGCUGAGGCGCGAAAGCGUGGGGAGCGAUCCGG